rnacentral:rRNA from 1 species
GAAUAUUGGACAAUGGGCGAAAGCCUGAUCCAGCGACGCCGCGUGGGUGGAGAAGGCCUGCGGGUUGUAAAGCCCUUUCGGUGGGGAAGAAAAGCCUCGACCUAAUACGUCGGGGUCUUGACGUAACCCACAAAAGAAGCACCGGCUAACUCUGGGCCAGCAGCCGCGGUAAUACGGAGGGUGCAAGCGUUAAUCGGAAUUACUGGGCGUAAAGCGCGCGUAGGUGGCUUGAUAAGCCGGUUGUGAAAGCCCCGGGCUCAACCUGGGAACGGCAUCCGGAACUGUCAGGCUAGAGUGCAGGAGAGGAAGGUAGAAUUCCCGGUGUAGCGGUGAAAUGCGUAGAGAUCGGGAGGAAUACCAGUGGCGAAGGCGGCCUUCUGGACUGACACUGACACUGAGGUGCGAAAGCGUGGGUAGCAAACAGG